rnacentral:misc_RNA from 1 species
AAAGUCGUAACAAGGUAACCGUAGGUGAACCUGCGGUUGGAUCAUUAAAAAACCAAAAAAAGGUUUCGUUUGGAGAAGGUCCUACCUUCGACAGAUGAAACUCCUCUUAUCAGGGGUACCACAUUCUGUGAACUUGUAACUUGUCUCUGGCGGGGGAGGAAGGAGAUUGGGGACCGUUUGGUUCACUGUCGAGCUCCUCGUCAGCUCCGUUCACCUUCUCCGGUGGAUCGGUGCCGUGGACAUCCCGCCAAACGGUUCCAUCGGGUGGUCUGUUUGGAUCUCCUGAUGGAUCUUUGUGCUCAACUUUUGGAUAUGGGAAUGCUUCUGAGAAUUGGACCGAGUUUAUCUGCUCAGUCUUUUUGAAAACAAUUAUUCAAAACAACUUUUGGCAACGGAUCUCUUGGCUCUC